rnacentral:rRNA from 1 species
AUACGUAGGGAGCGAGCGUUGUCCGGAAUUACUGGGUGUAAAGGGAGCGUAGGCGGGAGUGCAAGUCAGAUGUGAAAUACAUGGGCUCAACCCAUGGGCUGCAUUUGAAACUGCAUUUCUUGAGUGAAGUAGAGGUAAGCGGAAUUCCUGGUGUAGCGGUGAAAUGCGUAGAUAUCAGGAGGAACACCGGUGGCGAAGGCGGCUUACUGGGCUUUUACUGACGCUGAGGCUCGAAAGCGUGGGGAGCAAACAGGAUAAGAUACCCUGGUAGUCCACGCUGUAAACGAUGAUUACUAGGUGUGGGGGGACUGACCCCUUCCGUGCCGCAGUUAACACAAUAAGUAAUCCACCUGGGGAGUACGGCCGCAAGGUUGAAACUCAAAGGAAUUGACGGGG